AUUGAACGCUGGCGGCAUGCUUUACACAUGCAAGUCGAACGGUAACAGGCCGCAAGGUGCUGACGAGUGGCGAACGGGUGAGUAAUGCAUCGGAACGUGCCCAGUCGUGGGGGAUAACGCAGCGAAAGCUGCGCUAAUACCGCAUACGAUCUAUGGAUGAAAGCGGGGGACCGAAAGGCCUCGCGCGAUUGGAGCGGCCGAUGUCAGAUUAGGUAGUUGGUGGGGUAAAGGCUCACCAAGCCAACGAUCUGUAGCUGGUCUGAGAGGACGACCAGCCACAUUGGGACUGAGACACGGCCCAGACUCCUACGGGAGUCAGCAGUGGGGAAUUGUGGACAAUGGGCGCAAGCCUGAUCCAGCAAUGCCGCGUGCAGGAAGAAGGCCUUCGGGUUGUAAACUGCUUUUGUACGGAACGAAACGGUCCGGGUUAAUACCCUGGGCUAAUGACGGUACCGUAAGAAUAAGCACCGGCUAACUACGUGCCAGCCGCCGCAGUAACAC
rnacentral:rRNA from 1 species